rnacentral:tRNA from 1 species
GCCCAAGUGGCGGAACUGGUAGACGCGCUAGCUUCAGGAGCUAGUGGGAUUUUAUCCCGUGAAGGUUCGAAUCCUUUCUUGGGCACCA